AGUGAACGCUGGCGGUAGGCCUAACACAUGCAAGUCGAACGGCAGCACAGUAAGAGCUUGCUCUUACGGGUGGCGAGUGGCGGACGGGUGAGGAAUACAUCGGAAUCUACUUUUUCGUGGGGGAUAACGUAGGGAAACUUACGCUAAUACCGCAUACGACCUACGGGUGAAAGCAGGGGAUCUUCGGACCUUGCGCGAUUGAAUGAGCCGAUGUCGGAUUAGCUAGUUGGCGGGUUAAAGGCCCACCAAGUCGACGAUCCGUAGCUGGUCUGAGAGGAUGAUCAGCCACACUGGAACUGAGACACGGUCCAGACUACUACGGGAGGCAGCAGUGGGGAAUAUUGGACAAUGGGCGCAAGCCUGAUCCAGCCAUACCGAGUGGGUGAAGAAGGCCUUCGGGUUGUAAAGCCCUUUUGUUGGGAAAGAAAAGCAGCAGGUUAAUACCCCGCUGUUCUGACGGUACCCAAAGAAUAAGCACCGGCUAACUUCGUG
rnacentral:rRNA from 1 species